ensembl:lncRNA
CCCAGCACUCGGGAGGCUGAGACAGGAGGAUGGCAUGAGCCUGAGGCCAGUCCUGGGCGACACAGUGAGACCUUGUCUCCAAGAAAACAAGCAAAACAAAAGGCUGCUGGCCACAGUGCCAUGCCCACCUCCAAACGCAUGGCCAGAAGGUGAAACUGAAGACCUGGGCCCCUCCGCCCGGUUGGCUUUGUCCCCUUCUUUUCCUGGUGACAGCCUUUUCCUUUGGCGUCCUCCGUUUGUGUUUCUGGCGUGUCUCUCAUGGGCCAGUGCAGCCACGCUAAUGAGCGGCCCCCCAGCCCGAGUAGCCCCCGUCACCACCUGAGCAGUGCUGUCCCCGAGACCCAGCCCACUGCUCCUCCACCCUAACUGUGCCUUCCCCGUCCAGACUCCCCGCGCCACUUCUGGUGGUAUCACCUGGUCUGCUGGCUGCUGAGCGCUGCCGGCAUCCUCUGCAUCCUCGUGGCGCACAAGCACUACACGGUGGACGUGAUCGGUUGCCUAUUACAUCACCACGAGGCUGUUCUGGUGGUACCACUCCAUGGCCAACGAGAAGAACCUGAAGGUCUCCUCACACACGAACUUCCUGUCCCGAGCCUGGUGGUUUCCUGUCUUCCAUUUCUUUGAGAAGAACAUCCAGGGCUCAGUCCCUUAGCGCUUUCUCCUGGCCGCUGUCCUGGCCUCCCGGCUGCUUCAAGUCGUGCGUGCAAAAAGUACUCCCGGGUGCAGAAGUCGGGCGAGGACAGUGAGAAGUCCACCUGAGCCACGGCCGUGCUCCACGCUGCAGCCAAAGACAGCUCCGUCCUUAUGCUGGAGAACUGACUGGAGGCGGAGCAGCCGUCCACACUGCAGGCUCGGGGGAGAUGAGGGGCGUAUUGAUUACCUCGAGAGGUCUCUGUCCCUCCUGAGGCCUGCCUCACUGGUGAUGGGACCUCAGCGGGCUGUACGGUGAGCUUGUUAAAGAGGUGCCAAAGACCCCAGACUCCUCUUUCUUCCCUGUCACUGAGCCCCACCUCUGCACUCCUUCAGGGCGUCCUCCUCACCGGGGUCAGCGGGAUUUGUUCAUGUUUUGAAUAAAAGAUCCGGGUCUAUGCAGCCACCGGGCACAGGGAAUCCCCCUGAGGAGAGGGGUCCUGGCCGGGACUGGGAGCUGAGUCCAAGUGCACUUUCUUUCCAACCUGGCGGGGGAGGAAGGUCGCAGUGGGUCCCCGGUGCCCUCGCUGCCACUUUGACUCUUUUCUGUUUUUUAUUUCUUUCAAAUGAAUCAUUUUGAAGAAAAAGAUCCAAAAGAAAUCUGAAAGUAUUUAAUCUAUCCAUGGAUUUAAAUGUAAUGUUCAUAUUUCAAUUUAAAAUCUUUAGGAUGUCCGGGUGUGGGGGUGCAUGCCUGUAAUCUCAGCACUCAGGGGGCUGAGGCAGGAGGGUCACUGCAAGUUCGAGGCUAGCCUGAACGAUAUAGCGAGCCCCUGUCUCAAAAAACCAAAACAGAAGUAAAUGAAUCUGGUUCACCAGAAGUACGAGGCUGUUUCACACACACAGCUGGAUGCUGCUGCCCGGGGCAUUUGCCUCCGGCUGGCACAGGCGGCAGCACCUGGUGCUGAGCACUCACACCAGGGACGAGAGAGCUGGCUGACCUCGGGGUGGGAUGCCUGGCUAGACCUCGGAAGGACCCGUGUGGGCUGCUUCCCUGCACACUGUUCCUCGCUGGCCACCCUGGGUGCUGCAGGCCGAGUGGAGUCGCAGGUUGAAGGUGUCCUGGCCAGUGGCUUCCCGGGCAGCCGCUGCAUGGGCGCCUUUCCCGGGUGGGGAGGCCGAAAGUGGACAACUGUUCCCGAAUGUCUGUCCAGAGAUGCCAAACAGAAGGUGGCUUUGAGGAUCUGGUCAGAUAGUACUGUCAGUUUCCUGCAUUACUCAGUGCGAUUGAAAUUUGUGGCUAAUUUCUGGCUUAAUGCCUUCACUCUGUGAACACUAAUUUCUAGGACUUGGGAGGUGAAAUUUCCCUAGAUUUAUCAUUACAAGCCUCUCAGCCUUGAUGACACAAGUUGACUUUUUUUUGCUUGCAAAAGGCACUAAACAGAUCUAUCCAGAAGGGUCAUUUUCCUUUGGUGCUAAAAUUCUGUCUGUCCCAAUGGCUCUUUCUCCACAUAAUAGAAGAAUCCCUCAAGGGAGGGUGGUUGAAUUCAAAGGCAGGAAGAAAAACUCUCCAAUCCGUUAUUUUAAACGAGAAAGAAACCUUCACCAUCUGUGGCUGACUUUGAAACCCAAGGAUUUUCCAAUGUUUUUAAAUAAAGCACUAAUCAACAUGUGUCUACCCUAGCUGGUAUGUUCAGGCCUAAUUCUAUAGAAUUUCCACCCCUGUGCAUUUACCCGAUGUUGACUCUUGUGGUAGAACAAGAUGUUCUGCUUGAAAACACUAAUUUCAGAUUCCUGUUGUCUGACUAAGGAAAUUCAUUGGACCUUGAAGCCCUGCGUCUGUAGCUCAAAACAAUCCACUGGACUUCAGGGUGUCCAGGUGACCCACUUUCCUGCCAUCGGGUGAGGGAAAGUGCUUAAGCUUUAAAGACCAUUGUGUAUUGAGGAUCAGACUCCCUCCAAAUGGGCAGCCUUGCACUGCAGCCAGCUCAUCCAGGGACAGGUAUAACCGUCUGCUCCUAAAGGGCCCGGGAACCCCGAGACCCUCCUGUGGGGCACAGCGGUCUGUGCCCCUGGUCUUGUGUCCUGGCUCUCUCUCACAGAUGCUGACGAAGAGGGUGGCGGGAUAAUAAAAGAGGAAAAUGUCCAGGUUUCAAGCAGAAGAAGAAAUGAGACUCAUUUACAUGUAGGAGAACAAACUUGAGAUUUAACCCCACGAGCCACUUUGGCAUGGAAAAAACCAAUUACAAUGUUGCCUUUGAAGCAGUAAAUUUUCAUGAUGCCUUUUCCUUGCCAAUUAAAAUACAGCUGUUACACGUGACCUAUGUUUUUGUAAUCUGUGCUCCUAGCGAAUCCUUUGAAAUGUCUGACACAUAAUGCUUAUAAAUUAAGCCACAUUUUUUUCCUGAACUCUUCCCAGUAGAAAUAAGUGCUCUCAGAUUCAAUUAUAUUUUAGCUCCUUCAUGAGAUUUAAGAAGAAAGUGUUCUUCUGCCAGUCCCGCCUGAAUUCAAUGUGAAUUUAUGGUUUAAUUUAGGGCGUCUUGGGAAACAGCCGUUGCUAUGGAAGGGAGCUUGGCGCUCCGGUUCUUGGGCGUGUUCUCAGAGCCCCCUUGUGGCAGGAUGUCACGCAGCUUGGGACACAAAUGCCACUUCGUAAAAUACGUGUUCAGGUUUCAAAAAGGCAUUUGUGUUUCUUUCCCUUUGUGUAUUCGCUUGAUUUGCCUGUGAUCCUGGGGAAGGAAUUAUUUUAAAGACAUUUUAAACCCUUCUCAAAGGGGAAAUGUUCUCGGAUGGUAGUGACUUGUGAUUCUGGCCUUUUAUCCGUUCGAUGAAGGAAAACGUGCCUACCGUGGUUACCUCUCAGGGUCUCAAUAAUUGAUGCCUCCUUAUGCCCACCGACACCUGUUUGCUGGGAAUCCCUGCCAGCUGUCUUUCUUACUUUUUUUUUUUUUAAUUUACAUGCUAGACGUCAUAGACUUUGUUUUUAAACCGAAAAUUCACAUCUUGUUCCUUGAAUAUGUUGAACAUUUCUUUUUUCUUUUGGCAUAAUUUUUGUUUUGUACUGUAAACUGAUUAAAGAUUUGAAGCUGGUCUUAACACCCUCACUUCUAUAGUGUAAAAGAGGUGUGAGGAGGAAUUUCUUAAUGAGUUUACAUGUUUAAAUCAAGCAGAUUAUAAUUUAUAUGCCACAUAUUCUGUUUGUAUAAAGAGCUGCUGGUAUUUUUGCUUUUAAUGUCAUUAUGUUGCAAUAAUUUAACUCCUUUGACUCCACUGGUAAAAAUAUUUCCUUUAUUAUGAAGUGCUCUUGUCUUCAAUAUCCAGACACUGAAAAUCGUGUCAAAUGUACCCAAAGAGGAGUUUUUAUACAGGUAGACACCUUAUAAGUCCAGGUUUGUUUUAUUAUUCAUUAAUCUAACUUUGUGUCCUAAGUGAAUCAUUAAGGAGAAGAGCACUUUACUAUGGAAUUAUUUUUAAUUGCCCUUUAGAAGAAGCUGUACACAUAAGCCAGUCUUGCUUCCAAGUUGGAACUCACUAUGUAAUUUACCUCCUCUGCGAUAAUGGAUCCAGAACAUACGGCUGGGGUACAGCAUAUUCACAAAAGAAAUAUUGUCACAAAGUUAGCGGGCCGGGGGCAAUUACUUUGUUUUGGAAACUUACUGUACUGUUUCAAUGUGUUAAGUGCCUUGUUAUGAAGUAAAAUUUUAAGUUUAGGAUUCAUUAUUUUCCUGACAUAUAUUUUCAUUAAGAUAUGUGCUGUAUGUUAUUGUAAUAGUUUUAUUAAAUGCUUACCUUUUAACCAAAUAUGUACAUUUCCGAAACUCCUUUCCUCCUGCCCACAGCACCUUGCAUUCAGGUUAUUGUUGUUAAAGGAAAUUACCCUUGUUUAGCACUAUAGUGUCCUUGCUUGUGCUUUUGCUUCUGGGAAGACAUUUCAGGAGGAAACUAGGGGUCUAACUAGUUUAUACUUUUGCAGUGCUGUCUUACAUUUACAUUUUAAGUGCCUAAAUGUUAAAACUAAUUUACAUUUCUAUUUGAAAGAGGAUAUGUGUACUUGGUUUUUAAUCUUUUUCGUUUUGCUUUUAAAAAAAACCAAACCUGCAAGAGCCUAUACUUUGUAUUUACCAAUAAACCACAGUGACACUAACAGCCUUUUCAAAACUGGUAGUACUGUUUCUUUUAUUUUUCAAAAGGUGGUCUUAAAUUUAUUUAGUUUCAGAGUACUUGUUAAAACCACAAGUUAUGUUCUUCAAGCACUUUUUUUCUGAGACAGGGCUUUGCUGUGUGCCCCAGGCUGGCCUUGAACUUGACAGGAUCCUCCUGCCUCAGCCUCCUGAGUGCUGGGAUGACAAGUGUGCACCACUGCGCCCGGCGCAUCAGUAUUUUUUUAAAAUAAGCUAGAUAACCUUUAACUCAUGGAACUGUAAGUCAACUGGAAUGGAUUAUUUUUUUCCUGCCCUUGUAUUUAAGGUGAAAAAUUAUUUUGAAACUAUAGAAGAUGGUUUGUGGAAAAAAUUCAUUACGCUACAAUUGUGGGUCUCCUUGGUCACAAGGGGACAAAGCCCCAGUUCUUAAAGGAGAGCUGGGUACCUGUCACUCAGUUUAGAGAAACCUGGCUCCUUUGCAGAGGCCCUGGGGCGCCGUCCUCAGCUGCUCUGGCCCGGGCUGAGUGACUCUAGACCUCCUGACAGGUGAGAUCCUGGCCCUGAGAGGGACUCAGCAGGACGUGGCCCAGGGGGCGGGGCUCCUGGGGCUUCUGGAGACGCCCUGGGUCUGCACUGGUUGCCGGGAAACAGCAAAGAUGGGGGAGUUCUGCAGCUGCCUCUGCCAGGGGUGGGGACAGCACGUUCGCCCCAGAGGUGGCCGUGGCCCUGGCCACACGGUGAGCUACUGGCUUGGCCUUGGGCUGCUCAGGCGGAAUCCACUAUACAAGAAACGUCCGCGUUCGGGACGGACAGGCGGAUUCGAGGCUGAGCUCCCGGGCCGCCUCGGAGACAGUGGGAGACGCCUGGGCAGCCCUGCAAGUGCCCGUGAGGACUAAGACGCUCAUUCUCUUUCUGAAGCCAACUCCAGGAAGGAAUGAACAGGCAACCUCACACAACGAAAGCCGUGCUCCAAAACGUAGAUUGUGGACAAGAUUCUGAGGGACUAGAAACCACUUUAAAAUGAAAAUAAGAGCCAGGGGUGGUGGUGCACACCUGUCAUUCCAGCUCUCGGGAGGCUGAGGCAGGAGGAUUGCCGUAAGUUCAAGGCCAGCCUGGAAUACAGAGCAAGACCCUAUCUCAAAAAAAAACAAAACAAAAUGAGAGAAAAGAUUGAUGCGCAAAAGCAGAAACAGGUGUUAACAGUUGUUCCGCUACACGAAAGAAGAAACCAAACACGCUGCCGGAGCUGCUUACAUGAAACUGCCCAGCUGGUGCAGCUCAGCGGUAGAUGCCCGCCUGGCAUGCAUGAGUUGCUAGGUUCCAUCCCGAGAAAUACAGAAACAAUUCUGCCCAAACUGAAAAAGAUAAACAAAUACGGAAAUGAGAACACAUUCUUAGUCAGUGGGUCAAAGAAAUCACAAAGGAAACUUGAAAAUAACUUUGGGACAAAUACAAUAAAACACAGCGUCCUAAACCCAUGGGGGGAUGGUGAGAACAUCAGAGUGAAAUUCGCAGCUGCAAACACGGACACUUAAAUAAGACGUCAAGUCAGUGGCCUGCCUGUUGUUCUUAAGGACUGUUGUCCUUCAUCUGAAAAAGAUCAAACAAAGCCCAAAGCCAGCAGAACGAGGAAACAAUAUAAACUACCACAGAGCAAUGAUAGAUGAAAUAGAGGAUCGAAAAAAAGCAGUGAAGUUUCACAUUGGCUCCUUGAGAAGAGGGACAGAAUUGUGACUAAGAAAUAAAGAAUGCUGCAGUUGCUGACACCUGGAGUCAAGUGCGUGCAUUGCACCGCUGUGCAGAGGUGAGGGCUGGCGCAUGGCCCUGGGUUCAAGCUCCAGCUCCUUGUAAUAGUAAAUACAACAAACAGAAAGGAUUACAAGAGAACAAUGAACAACCACGCACAAACUGGAUAACCUAGAUGAAAUGGACAAAGUCACAGAAACAUGAAACCUGCCAAUACCAAACCAUAAACAGAAAAUAUCUCUACUAAGAGUUUGAAUCAAUAAUGAAAAACUUCCCAGGAGAGAAAACACCAGAUGGUGACCUUGUUGGUGAAUUCUGCUAAACAUUUAAAGGAGGAUUAAUACCGGGUCUUCAAACUUUUCCAGCAAACCGAAGAGGAGGGACCCUGUCUACCUCAUGCUCUGGGCCCAGAAUUACCCUGUACCAAGGCCAGAGGCAGAGGGUGCAAAAACAUUUAAGACUGAACUCCCUUCUGAAUAUUAAUCCAAAACAGUCAACAAAAUCCUAAGAAACUGAACUCAGUAUUUAU